GUCGAUGGCUGUGUCCAGCGGUGAACGCUUUACCACAGGACUCUACGGUGGGGUAGGCAGCGCCACUUCAAUGUGAAGACAAAUGAACUGGCGUCUCUUGAGAUAGGCCCCUGCCUCCAGGACCUCUCAGGCCCCGGGCCCUGGUUACUGCCGUGGAAGCUGCCUGUUCAGACGUCAUCUCUAUCACCCCUUGAAGGGAGACAGAGAGGUGUUUGCGAGUUGGAUGUUUUAUCUUGUCUUUCCUGAUUCUUUGUUAGAACACCCCCAGGGCUUGGUUUUUGUUCUCAACCUGUGAUUAGAAAUAAGAUCCUAAAGUGUCAGAUCUGGAAGGCCCAUGAGAGCUGAGGAGAUCAAAUGCCCGGAGCUCGGGAGAUCAGAUGACCUGGGGUGUCUGGAGCCAGUGGUGGCCUCAUCUGCAGCAUCUUCCUCUGUCCUGCCCACCACAGAGUCCCUGCUGGCCCCGGGGGGCCCCUCCUCCGCCACAGGGCCCCUGAGCAUUGCUGCGUUUGUUUCUCCAGCUCCUCCUUCCUGCAGAAGCAGUUCCCAGAGGGGCAAUUUCUCCAGCCUGCCUGGUCGCGUCUCCUUCUUCACCUCGGGGUCCGAGAACCUACACCGCGUGGAGAAGGUCCACUGGGGCACCCGUUACGCCAUCACCAUCGCCUUCAGCUGCAACCCCGACCAUGGCAUCGAGGACCCAGCGUUCCCGUAGCCAGCAGCCGGGCCAAGGUAACUUCAGGAGGGCCCGUGUGGAGGCAGCCGCGCCAGUCGUGCACCCACCCCCACGUCCACCCGCUCCUGUUGCACAGAGUGCCUUAGGAAUUCUCUGAUUUUGAUUUGCUGACGUGUUAAUCUUUUCAUCUGUGAGUAAAUGAAGGGAACCAGCUUUUCACUU
rnacentral:lncRNA from 1 species